AAAAUAAUGCUACCUUAACCCUGCAGUUUAUGCUUAGUAUUCUACCUUAAAAUGUUUACUUUCGGUGCAAUAGCUUCUUUGGAUUUUUAUAUUGAACAUUGGACCAUUUUUACUCAACCUUUGGAUAAUUCGUUGCUGUUUAUGUUGUAGAACAACAUGGUGUAACACUAUGGUUCCACUAACUUGAUAUAUUUUCCACUAAUGUCCUUCCUGUUUCCAUCUACCUUGCUGCCCCAUCUCUCCUCUACCAAAUCCCAGCUUCAUGGUGGAUUCAUCUACAGGUAGUUAAUCUCCUAGCACUGAAUCACUGCACAGCUGCACAUGAAUUGUUAUGGACCAUUUGUUUUUCUUCAGGAAUCCACACCUACGGCAGUUCUCCUAGAAACCAUGUGCCUGAAGUUCAUCUCCCUACCACUCCAU
rnacentral:lncRNA from 1 species